AACGAACGCUGGCGGCAGGCCUAACACAUGCAAGUCGAACGAACCCUUCGGGGUUAGUGGCGGACGGGUGAGUAACACGUGGGAACGUGCCUUUAGGUUCGGAAUAACUCAGGGAAACUUGUGCUAAUACCGAAUGUGCCCUUCGGGGGAAAGAUUUAUCGCCUUUAGAGCGGCCCGCGUCUGAUUAGCUAGUUGGUGAGGUAAAGGCUCACCAAGGCUACGAUCAGUAGCUGGUCUGAGAGGAUGACCAGCCACAUUGGGACUGAGACACGGCCCAAACUCCUACGGGAGGCAGCAGUGGGGAAUCUUGCGCAAUGGGCGAAAGCCUGACGCAGCCAUGCCGCGUGGAUGAUGAAGGUCUUAGGAUUGUAAAAUCCUUUCACCGGUGAAGAUAAUGACUGUAGCCGGAGAAGAAGCCCCGGCUAACUUCGUGCCAGCAGCCGCCGUAAGAC
rnacentral:rRNA from 1 species